UACGAAGGGGGCAAGCGUUGUUCGGAAUUACUGGGCGUAAAGGGCGCGUAGGCGGUGCGUUAAGUCAGACGUGAAAUCCCUCGGCUUAACCGGGGAACUGCGUCUGAUACUGGAUGGCUUGAGUUUGGGAGAGGGAUGCGGAAUUCCAGGUGUAGCGGUGAAAUGCGUAGAUAUCUGGAGGAACACCGGUGGCGAAGGCGGCAUCCUGGACCAACACUGACGCUGAGUGAGCGAAAGCCAGGGGAGCAAACGGG
rnacentral:rRNA from 1 species